GCUGGAGUAGUGGUGGCUCAGUGGUUUGUGUGCUGAAUUCACAAUCCAAAUGUUGCAGGUUUGAAUCCUACCAUUGUUCCAGCC